AUUGAACGCUGGCGGCAGGCUUAACACAUGCAAGUCGAACGGUAACAUGAAGAAGCUUGCUUCUUUGAUGACGAGUGGCGGACGGGUGAGUAAUGCUUGGGAAUCUAGCUUAUGGAGGGGGAUAACUACGGGAAACUGUAGCUAAUACCGCGUAGAAUCGAGAGAUGAAAGUGUGGGACCUUCGGGCCACAUGCCAUAGGAUGAGCCCAAGUGGGAUUAGGUAGUUGGUGAGGUAAAGGCUCACCAAGCCGACGAUCUCUAGCUGGUCUGAGAGGAUGACCAGCCACACUGGGACUGAGACACGGCCCAGACUCCUACGGGAGGCAGCAGUGGGGAAUAUUGCGCAAUGGGGGCAACCCUGACGCAGCCAUGCCGCGUGAAUGAAGAAGGCCUUCGGGUUGUAAAGUUCUUUCGGUAGCGAGGAAGGCAUUUAGUUUAAUAAACUAGGUGAUGGACGUAACUACAGAAGAGCACCGCA
rnacentral:rRNA from 1 species